UACAGAGGGUGCAAGCGUUAAUCGGAGUUACUGGGCAUAAAGGGCGCGUAGGCGGAUGUUUAAGUCGGAUGUGAAAUCCCUGGGCUCAACCUGGGAAUUGCAUUCGAUACUGGACGUCUAGAGUAUGGUAGAGGAAAGUGGAAUUCCCGGUGUAGUGGUAAAAUACGUAGAUAUCGGGAGGAACACCAGUGGCGAAGGCGGCUUUCUGGUCCAAUACUGACGCUGAGGCGCGAAAGCGUGGGGAGCAAACAGG
rnacentral:rRNA from 1 species